AUUUUGAGCAAUCGUGUGAUUGGCUGAAUUCUAGAACUUCUAGCCAAAACAUACACAUUUCAUGGACUUCCAAAAACACACUAUGCAGAACAUGUUUGGUUUUUUUUGUUCAUGAUUCUGAAUCCCACCCGUGGCGUAUAAAAAGAGAUUGAUGGAGAAAAAGAUGACUGAUGGCUAGAGAUGGUCAAAACUGAGAUCAAGUGAGAAGUGGGCAAUAG